rnacentral:rRNA from 1 species
UUCCGGUUGAUCCUGCCGGAGGCUACCGCUAUUGGAGUUCGAUUAAGCCAUGCGAGUCGCGAGUCUUAGGGACUCGGCGUACCGCUCAGUAACACGUGGGUAACCUGCCCUAUGCUGGGGGAUAACCUCGGGAAACUGAGAAUAAUACCCCAUAGUUCACCACGCCUGGAACGGUGGGUGGAUCAAAGCUCCGGCGGCAUAGGAUGGGCCUGCGGCGUAUCAGGUUGUAGGGGGUGUAAUGUACCCUCUAGCCCUCUACGCGUACGGGUGUUGAGAGACAUCGCCCGGAGAUGGAUUCUGAGACACGAAUCCAGACCCCACGGGGUGCAGCAGGCGCGAAAACUUGGCAAUGCGAGAAAUCGUGACCAGGGAACUCCAAGUGCAUCGGGUAAGACCGAUGCUUUUCUUGACUCUUCAAAGGUCUUGGAAUAAGGGGUGGGUAAGGACGGUGCCAGCCGCCGCGGUAAUACCGGCGCCCCAAGUGGUAGUCGCUUUUAUUGGGCCUAAAACGUCCGUAGCCGGUCUGGUACAUUCGUGGGUAAAUCAACCAGCUCAACUGGUUGAAUUCUGCGAGCACGGCCAGACUUGGGACCGGGAGAGGUGUGGGGUACUCUCAGGGUAGGGGUAAAAUCCUGUCAUCCUGAGAGGACCACCUGUUGCGAAGGCGCCACACUAGAACGGAUCCGACGGUCAGGGACGAAGCCUAGGGGCACGAACCGGAUUAGAUACCCGGGUAGUCCUAGGUGUAAACGCUGUGGACUUGAUGUUGGGGGCGCUCCGAGCGCACUCAGUGUCGAAGCGAAGGUGAUAAGUCCACUGCCUGGGGAGUACGGUCGCAAGGCUGAAACUUAAAGGAAUUGGCGGGGGAGCACCGCAACCUGAGGAUUGUGCGGUUUAAUUGGAGUCAACGCCGGA